CCUACGGGAGGCAGCAGUGGGGAAUAUUGGGCAAUGGACGAAACUCUGACCCAGCAAUGCCGCGUGAAUGAAGAAGGCCUUCGGAUUGUAAAGUUCUUUAGUCAGGGACGAAUAAAAUGACGGUACCUGAAGAAUAAGCUCCGGCUAACUACGUGCCAGCAGCCGCGGUAAUACGUAGGGAGCAAGCGUUGUUCGGAAUGACUGGGCGUAAAGGGUGAUUAGGCGGUUAUACAAGUUAGAUGUGAAAUACCCAGGGCUUAACUCGGGUGCUGCAUCUAAAAUUGUGAGACUUGAGUGCAGUAGAGGUAAGUGGAAGUCCUGGUGUAGCGGUGAAAUGCGUAGAUAGAAGGAGGAACACCAGUGGCGAAGGCGGCUAACUGGACUGCAACUGACGCUGAGGCACGAAAGUGUGGGGAGCAAACAGGAUUAGAUACCCGAGUAGUC
rnacentral:rRNA from 1 species